rnacentral:rRNA from 1 species
CCUGGCUCAGAUUGAACGCUGGCGGCAGGCUUAACACAUGCAAGUCGAACGGUAACAUGAAGAAGCUUGCUUCUUUGAUGACGAGUGGCGGACGGGUGAGUAAUGCUUGGGAAUCUGGCUUAUGGAGGGGGAUAACGACGGGAAACUGUCGCUAAUACCGCGUAGAAUCGAGAGAUGAAAGUGUGGGACCUUCGGGCCACAUGCCAUAGGAUGAGCCCAAGUGGGAUUAGGUAGUUGGUGGGGUAAAGGCCUACCAAGCCGACGAUCUCUAGCUGGUCUGAGAGGAUGGCCAGCCACACCGGGACUGAGACACGGCCCAGACUCCUACGG